UGAUGGCGUGCCUUUUGUAGAAUGAACCGGCGAGUUACGAUCUGAUGCAAGGUUAAGCAGAAAAUGUGGAGCCGUAGCGAAAGCGAGUCUGAAUAGGGCGAAUGAGUAUUUGGUCGUAGACCCGAAACCAGGUGAUCUACCCUUGGUCAGGUUGAAGUUCAGGUAACACUGAAUGGAGGACCGAACCGACUUACGUUGAAAAGUGAGCGGAUGAACUGAGGGUAGCGGAGAAAUUCCAAUCGAACUUGGAGAUAGCUGGUUCUCUCCGAAAUAGCUUUAGGGCUAGCCUCAAGUGAUGAUUAUUGGAGGUAGAGCACUGUUUGGACGAGGGGCCCCUCUCGGGUUACCGAAUUCAGACAAACUCCGAAUGCCAAAUAAUUUAACUUGGGAGUCAGAAUGUGGGUGAUAAGGUCCAUAUUCGAAAGGGAAACAGCCCAGACCACCAGCUAAGGUCCCAAAAUAUAUGUUAAGUGGAAAAGGAUGUGGCGUUGCCCAGACAACUAGGAUGUUGGCUUAGAAGCAGCCAUCAUUUAAAGAGUGCGUAAUAGCUCACUAGUCGAGUGACACUGCGCCGAAAAUGUACCGGGGCUAAACAUAUUACCGAAGCUGUGGAUUGUCCUUUGGACAAUGGUAGGAGAGCGUUCUAAGGGCGUUGAAGCAUGAUCGCAAGGACAUGUGGAGCGCUUAGAAGUGAGAAUGCCGGUGUGAGUAGCGAAAGACGGGUGAGAAUCCCGUCCACCGAUUGACUAAGGUUUCCAGAGGAAGGCUCGUCCGCUCUGGGUUAGUCGGGUCCUAAGCUGAGGCCGACAGGCGUAGGCGAUGGAUAACAGGUUGAUAUUCCUGUACCACCAUUAUUCGUUUUAAGCGAUGGGGGGACGCAGUAGGAUAGGCGAAGCGUGCUGUUGGAGUGCACGUCCAAGCAGUGAGAUUGAGUGUUAGGCAAAUCCGGCACUCUUAAGAUUGAGCUGUGAUGGGGAGAGGAACUUGUUCCUCGAGUCGUUGAUUUCACACUGCCGAGAAAAGCCUCUAGCUAGAAUAACGGUGCCCGUACCGCAAACCGACACAGGUAGUCAAGAUGAGAAUUCUAAGGUGAGCGAGCGAACUCUCGUUAAGGAACUCGGCAAAAUGACCCCGUAACUUCGGGAGAAGGGGUGCUCUUUGAGGUUCACGCUUCGAAGAGCCGCAGUGAAUAGGCCCAAGCGACUGUUUAUCAAAAACACAGGUCUCUGCUAAACCGUAAGGUGACGUAUAGGGGCUGACGCCUGCCCGGUGCUGGAAGGUUAAGAGGAGUGGUUAGCGCAAGCGAAGCUACGAAUCGAAGCCCCAGUAAACGGCGGCCGUAACUAUAACGGUCCUAAGGUAGCGAAAUUCCUUGUCGGGUAAGUUCCGACCCGCACGAAAGGCGUAACGAUUUGGGCACUGUCUCAACGAGAGACUCGGUGAAAUCAUAGUACCGGUGAAGAUGCCGGUUACCCGCGACAGGACGGAAAGACCCCGUGGAGCUUUACUGUAGCCUGAUAUUGAAAUUCGGUACAGUUUGUACAGGAUAGGUAGGAGCCUUAGAAGCGUGAGCGCUAGCUUACGUGGAGGCAUUGGUGGGAUACUACCCUAAUUGUAUUGGAUUUCUAACCCGCAGCACUUAUCGUGCUGGGAGACAGUGUCAGGCGGGCAGUUUGACUGGGGCGGUCGCCUCCUAAAGAGUAACGGAGGCGCUCAAAGGUUCCCUCAGAAUGGUUGGAAAUCAUUCAUAGAGUGUAAAGGCAUAAGGGAGCUUGACUGCGAGACCUACAAGUCGAGCAGGGUCGAAAGACGGACUUAGUGAUCCGGUGGUUCCGCAUGGAAGGGCCAUCGCUCAACGGAUAAAAGCUACCCCGGGGAUAACAGGCUUAUCUCCCCCAAGAGUUCACAUCGACGGGGAGGUUUGGCACCUCGAUGUCGGCUCAUCGCAUCCUGGGGCUGUAGUCGGUCCCAAGGGUUGGGCUGUUCGCCCAUUAAAGCGGUACGCGAGCUGGGUUCAGAACGUCGUGAGACAGUUCGGUCCCUAUCCGUCGUGGGCGUAGGAAAUUUGAGAGGAGCUGUCCUUAGUACGAGAGGACCGGGAUGGACAUACCUCUGGUGUACCAGUUGUCGUGCCAACGGCAUAGCUGGGUAGCUAUGUAUGGACGGGAUAAGUGCUGAAAGCAUCUAAGCAUGAAGCCCCCCUCGAGAUGAGAUUUCCCAACUUCGGUUAUAAGAUCCCUCAAAGAUGAUGAGGUGAAU
rnacentral:rRNA from 1 species